AGAUUGAAAAGCCACCGAACCACCGGAAGUAGGUCGCAUGUGGCUAUCACCAUCUUGAAACUUACGAUUGGAUUUCUCAGAAUCGAAAUGCAAACAACAAUCGUUGCAAUGGUCAACCACAUAAGCGGAAUGCUCCCGUUAUUGAUAAUUAAGAAGAACAGUG